rnacentral:tRNA from 1 species
GCCUGCCUGGCUUAGUUGGUGGAGCAUGUGACUCUUGAUCUUGGGGUUUUGAGUUUGAGCCUCAUGUUGGGCA